GCUGGCGGCGUGCCUAAUACAUGCAAGUCGAGCGAACAGAUAAGGAGCUUGCUCCUUUGACGUUAGCGGCGGACGGGUGAGUAACACGUGGGUAACCUACCUAUAAGACUGGAAUAACUCCGGGAAACCGGGGCUAAUGCCGGAUAACAUUUAGAACCGCAUGGUUCUAAAGUGAAAGAUGGUUUUGCUAUCACUUAUAGAUGGACCCGCGCCGUAUUAGCUAGUUGGUAAGGUAACGGCUUACCAAGGCAACGAUACGUAGCCGACCUGAGAGGGUGAUCGGCCACACUGGAACUGAGACACGGUCCAGACUCCUACGGGAGGCAGCAGUAGGGAAUCUUCCGCAAUGGGCGAAAGCCUGACGGAGCAACGCCGCGUGAGUGAUGAAGGUCUUCGGAUCGUAAAACUCUGUUAUUAGGGAAGAACAAAUGUGUAAGUA
rnacentral:rRNA from 2 species